UACAGAGGUCUCCAGCGUUGUUCGGAUUCAUUGGGCGUAAAGGGUGCGUAGGUGGCGCCGUAAGUCGGGUGUGAAAUUUCGGAGCUUAACUCCGAAACUGCAUUCGAUACUGCGGUGCUUGAGGACUGGAGAGGAGACUGGAAUUCAUGGUGUAGCAGUGAAAUGCGUAGAGAUCAUGAGGAAGACCAGUGGCGAAGGCGGGUCUCUGGACAGUUCCUGACACUGAGGCACGAAGGCCAGGGGAGCAAACGGG
rnacentral:rRNA from 1 species